UGGGGAAUAUUGCACAAUGGGCGCAAGCCUGAUGCAGCCAUGCCGCGUGUGUGAAGAAGGCCUUCGGGUUGUAAAGCACUUUCAGCGGGGAGGAAGGCGUUAAGGUUAAUAACCUUGGCGAUUGACGUUACCCGCAGAAGAAGCACCGGCUAACUCCGUGCCAGCAGCCGCGGUAAUACGGAGGGUGCAAGCGUUAAUCGGAAUUACUGGGCGUAAAGCGCACGCAGGCGGUUUGUUAAGUCAGAUGUGAAAUCCCCGGGCUCAACCUGGGAACUGCAUCUGAUACUGGCAAGCUUGAGUCUCGUAUAGGGGGGUAGAAUUCCAGGUGUAGCGGUGAAAUGCGUAGAGAUCUGGAGGAAUACCGGUGGCGAAGGCGGCCCCCUGGACAAAGACUGACGCUCAGGUGCGAAAGCGUGGGGAGCAAACAGG
rnacentral:rRNA from 1 species